rnacentral:lncRNA from 1 species
CUUGAUCCUGAGGAUUGAACCCAGGGCACUGUGACGCUGAGCUACACCUUAGCCCUUUUAUUUAUUUAUUUUUUUGGAGACAGGAUCUUUCUCAGUUGCUGAGGCUGGCCUCAAACUUCCCAUCCUCCUGCCUCAGCCUCUGGAGCCGCUGGGAUCACCGACGUGUGUCAGGCUGCCCGUGGGCUCCGUGGGAGGAGUGCGAUUUGAGGAGCUCUCGAGUGUGAGCAGGUGACUGUAGAAAACCACACCCAGGCUCAUAACCGCCAACUGCUAAGGAAUGGAGGCCCCGGAAACUGGAGAAAGCAGCUACUCUGAGACCGUGUGUCACCCGCAGAGAGACUCGCCGUGGGAAUGGCGCUGGGGGGGAGUCCCAGGGACUCAGCGGGGCGACCUGGUCAGCACUUUGCUGCUCCCGACUUCCUGUUCGCCUAAAGUGUCGAUGGUCGGUCAUAAGAUCGUGGACCUCCGUCUUAGGUCUUCAUCUGGAGAAGUCAAAGGUGAUGACGGUGACGCUGCUGCUCUGGGACCGGGGGUCUCCAUGCCUCCGGGACUCCUCACCCCCGGGCGGCUCAGAGCCACACUUCAGGACACUGAUGUCAGGGGUUGCCGUGGUCCUGUCACAGAUGGGGACCUGGGCCCUGAUUGACAGCCCAC